GAUGAACGCUGGCGGCGUGCCUAAUACAUGCAAGUCGAGCGAACGGACGAGAAGCUUGCUUUUCUGAUGUUAGCGGCGGACGGGUGAGUAACACGUGGGUAACCUACCUAUAAGACUGGGAUAACUUCGGGAAACCGGAGCUAAUACCGGAUAAUAUUUUGAACCGCAUGGUUCAAAAGUGAAAGACGGUCUUGCUGUCACUUAUAGAUGGAUCCGCGCUGCAUUAGCUAGUUGGUAAGGUAACGGCUUACCAAGGCAACGAUGCAUAGCCGACCUGAGAGGGUGAUCGGCCACACUGGAACUGAGACACGGUCCAGACUCCUACGGGAGGCAGCAGUAGGGAAUCUUCCGCAAUGGGCGAAAGCCUGACGGAGCAACGCCGCGUGAGUGAUGAAGGUCUUCGGAUCGUAAAACUCUGUUAUUGGGGAAGAACAUAUGUGUAAGUAACUGUGCACAUCUUGACGGUACCUAAUCAGAAAGCCACGGCUAACUACGUGCCAGCAGCCGCGGUAAUACGUAGGUGGCAAGCGUUAUCCGGAAUUAUUGGGCGUAAAGCGCGCGUAGGCGGUUUUUUAAGUCUGAUGUGAAAGCCCACGGCUCAACCGUGGAGGGUCAUUGGAAACUGGAAAACUUGAGUGCAGAAGAGGAAAGUGGAAUUCCAUGUGUAGCGGUGAAAUGCGCAGAGAUGUGGAGGAACACCAGUGGCGAAGGCGACUUUCUGGUCUGUAACUGACGCUGAUGUGCGAAGGCGUGGGGAUCAAACAGGAUUAGAUACCCUGGUAGUCCACGCCGUAAACGAUGAGUGCUAAGUGUUAGGGGGUUUCCGCCCCUUAGUGCUGCAGCUAACGCAUUAAGCACUCCGCCUGGGGAGUACGACCGCAAGGUUGAAACUCAAAGGAAUUGACGGGGGCCCGCACAAGCGGUGGAGCAUGUGGUUUAAUUCGAAGCAACGCGAAGAACCUUACCAAAUCUUGACAUCCUUUGACAACUCUAGAGAUAGAGCCUUCCCCUUCGGGGGACAAAGUGACAGGUGGUGCAUGGUUGUCGUCAGCUCGUGUCGUGAGAUGUUGGGUUAAGUCCCGCAACGAGCGCAACCCUUAAGCUUAGUUGCCAUCAUUAAGUUGGGCACUCUAAGUUGACUGCCGGUGACAAACCGGAGGAAGGUGGGGAUGACGUCAAAUCAUCAUGCCCCUUAUGAUUUGGGCUACACACGUGCUACAAUGGACAAUACAAAGGGCAGCGAAACCGCGAGGUCAAGCAAAUCCCAUAAAGUUGUUCUCAGUUCGGAUUGUAGUCUGCAACUCGACUACAUGAAGCUGGAAUCGCUAGUAAUCGUAGAUCAGCAUGCUACGGUGAAUACGUUCCCGGGUCU
rnacentral:rRNA from 1 species